GUUGUGUUUGGUUUUACAAUAUAGUUGGUGCAGGUGACAGCCUCAAAGCCUGUUCCCACCAGACUGGAAGAGAAAACUGAAAACCUCUCUUUCUGCUUCUCCUGCUGCAAGGAGUUAUGGAAGAGAAAGGCCAACAGGCCAAAAAACUGCAGAUCUGCUAUCCAGAAGCAGAAAAUGGUACAGAAUUGGAGCCUUGAGGUCCUGGCAUUAACUGCUCCUGGUAGGGAGGAGAAAUCUGAAUGUCUGACAUUGAAGUGCCAUGAAGAACAUGUCUUCAGCAACUUGAAGACGAAAGAAGAUGUGAACUCAAAUCCACUGAGUACUGUAUUUUUCAUAGCCACAUGUUUUAGAUUAGGAGUUGGCAAACUACUCCCUGUGGGUCAAAUACUGCCCUCCACCCAUUUUGUUUUAUUUUGUUUUUUAGACUAUGGGCUAACAUUGUUGUCCUAGAUUUCUAAAAGGUUAUUAAAAUUCAGAAGAGGAAUAAUAUGACAUGUAAAAAUUAUAGAGAUUCAAAACUUAACAUCCAUAAAUAAAGUUUUUUUUUUUUGAACACACCCACAGCACACUAAAUGGAUGAGUGGAGGGAUGGACUAAUUUACAUAUUGUAUAUGGCUGCUAUCCUGCUGCUGCAGCAAAAUUGAUAACAAGUUACAGUAAAACUAUUAUGGCUGCGAAGCUCAAAAUAUUUAAAAUUUGCCUCUUUGCAGAAAAUUUGCUGAC